CCUACGGGGGGCUGCAGUAGGGAAUAUUGGUAAUGCGCGAAAGCGUGAACCAGCAACGCCGCGUGUGCGAUGAAGGCCUUCGGGUUGUAAAGCACUUUUCGGGAGGAAGAGGAAGGACUGUACUCCCAGAAUAAGCCUCGGCUAACUACGUGCCAGCAGCCGCGGUAAUACGUAGGAGGCAAACGUUAUCCGGAUUUACUGGGCGUAAAGCGCGUGUAGGCGGUUUGAUAAGUUGGACGUGAAAGCUCCCGGCUCAACUGGGAGAGGUCGUUCAAUACUGUCAAGCUAGAGGAUGGUAGAGGGAGGUGGAAUUCCGGGUGUAGUGGUGAAAUGCGCAGAUAUCCGGAGGAACACCAGUGGCGAAGGCGGCCUCCUGGACCACUCCUGACGCUCAGACGCGAAAGCUAGGGUAGCGAACGGGCUUAGAUACCCCAGUAGUC
rnacentral:rRNA from 1 species